GACGAAGGAUGCAAGCGUUAUCCGGAUUCAUUGGGUUUAAAGGGUGCGUAGGCGGACUGAUAAGUCAGUGGUGAAAUCUCUUUGCUUAACAAAGAAACUGCCAUUGAUACUGUCGGUCUAGAGUAUAGAUGACGUUGGCGGAAUAUGACAUGUAGUGGUGAAAUACUUAGAUAUGUCAUAGAACACCGAUUGCGAAGGCAGCUAACGAAACUAUAACUGACGCUGAGGCACGAAAGUGCGGGAUCAAACAGG
rnacentral:rRNA from 1 species